UGGAAAUGAUUGGGACUUGACAAUUCGUAUAAUUAAAAAACAGAACACAUACCUGCAUAAAUAAGUACAAUUGCCAUUCCAAUCAACAUCAGAUUACUCUAAGGUUUUCACACGCUAUUCUCAAGAAUGCGACACAAUGAAUUGAAAGAAAACACGUUAUUUUUUUCUACAAAAUCAUGGCGUUCUACUGGUUUUGCGAAACGUACAUAAGUGAUUGUUCCGCGGAUUUCUUUUUUCCAGUCACAAAAAGUUUUGAUACUCGGGUUUGGUUUAUUUUUACCUACGUUCAAAUAAGGUAUAUCCUACUAUUUCGUGGUCGUGAUAACAGAAUGAGAAAUUACGUUCAAGACCAAUCAGAAGGAAAGAGUAUGUCGGAACUUAUAAUAGGUAAUUAAGAGCGUUGGACAACGAAUUCAUGGAUAGUUGACGUUGAGUACGUAUAAAAAUCAAUUAAUUUUCACGUUUUAUGGAACAUAGCUAAUGACUAACACACGAAUAAUAUUUCAUACGUAAAGAUAUAAUAUAUAAUCAUCACAGAUGCGUAAGCGAUCAGAUAUUAUACAUGUAUAUUCCUACGUUCGAUUUAUAAUAAUAAUUUCCAUGUGUUUGCAUACCUGUACGCAACAUUUGAAAUCAUGUACCAAAUGGGUUAAUACACUUAUUACUGCAAAGGUAAA